CAGCCUCUAGCUUAUGUGGCUCUAUUCUCCUGUCUUGGUGCUGCCCGUAGGGGACAUUGUGACAUACUUCUUGGCCAUGAACCCAGGUUAUGUGAGCCUUUCUGUGCCCUGCCCAUGUGGACAAUUGUGACAUAUUACCGAGUCCUACACCCAGGCGAUGCUACUCUCCUGUCUGGUCCUUGCCUACAGGGAACAUUGUGACAUAUCUCUUUGCCAUUCAUCCAGGUUCUGCCCACAGGGAAGAUUGUGGUGAAUUACUGAACGCGAUACCUAGAUGAAGGAGAGACUAUAACAUACCUCUUGGCCCAGCACCUAGUUGAUGUAACUCUGCUCUCCUGC
rnacentral:lncRNA from 1 species